AGUGAACGCUGGCGGUAGGCCUAACACAUGCAAGUCGAACGGAAGCACAGUAAGAGUUUGCUCUUACGGGUGGCGAGUGGCGGGCGGGUGAGGCAUACAUCGGCAUCUUCUUUUUCGUGGGGGACUUCGUAGGGACACUUACGCUAAUACAGAAUACGAUCUACGGGUGAAAUCAGGGGUUCUUCGGACUUUGCGUGAUUGAUUGAGACGGUGCCGGAUUAGCUAGUUGGAGGGGUAAAGGCCCACCAAGGCAACGAUACGUAGCUGGUCUGAGAGGAUGAUCGGCCACACUGGAACUGAGACACGGUCCAGACUCCUACGGGAGGCAGCAGUAGGGAAUCUUCCGCAAUGGGCGCAAGCCUGGCGGAGCCACGCCGCGUGAGUGAUGAAGGUCUUCGGAUUGUAAAACUCUGUUAUUAGGGAAGAAAAAAUGUGUAAGUAAAUAUGCAUGUCUUGACGGUACCCAAUCAGAAAGCCACGGCUAACUACGUG
rnacentral:rRNA from 1 species